rnacentral:rRNA from 1 species
CACAUGCAAGUCGAGCGAGAAAGCUCCUUCGGGAGUGAGUAAAGCGGCGAACGGGUGAGUAACACGUAGGUAACCUGCCUUUGGGAUGGGGAUGACCUUACUAACGUGGGGUUAAUACCGAAUAAUGCAGCGGAUUCGCAUGGAUAUGUUGUUAAAGUGGGUUUCGGCUCACGCCUGAAGAUGGACCUGCGUCCCAUUAGCUUGUUGGUGAGGUAAGGGCUCACCAAGGCGACGAUGGGUAGCCGGCCUGAGAGGGUGAACGGCCACACUGGGACUGAGAUACGGCCCAGACUCCUACGGGAGGCAGCAGUGAGGAAUAUUGGGCAAUGGCCGAAAGGCUGACCCAGCAACGCCGCGUGAGGGAUGAAGCUCUAAGGAGCGUAAACCUCUUUCGGGAGGGAAGAAUUUUUCCAAGAUGAAUAAUCUUGGGAGUUGACGGUACCUCCUAAAGAAGCCCCGGCUAACUCCGUGCCAGCAGCCGCGGUAAUACGGGGGGGGCGAGCGUUGUCCGGAAUCAUUGGGCGUAAAGGGCGCGUAGGCGGAAUGGUAAGUCAGAGGUGAAAAUCCGGAGCUUAACUCCGGACCUGCCUUUGAUACUGCGAUUCUUGAGUGUGGGAGAGGAAAGCGGAAUUUCCCGGUGUAGCGGUGAAAUGCGUAGAUAUCGGGAAGAACACCGGUAGCGAAGGCGGCUUUCUGGCCCGCAACUGACGCUGAGGCGCGAAAGCGUGGGGAGCAAACAGGAUUAGAUACCCUGUAGUCCACGCUGUAAACGAUGGGCACUAGUGUUGGCGGAUUCGACCCCGUCAGUGCCGAAGCUAACGCAU